CUGAAGGCCACUCUAGAUCAAUGAUAACAUUUUCUGCGUUAAAAAACUGCUUCUGGGAAAUGUAAAGCCUAGUAUAAACACUCUGUUUAUCCCCAUCCUUAUUUUAUCAUUUAUAACUUGUAUCUGUUGGAAGGAGGAGGCAUAAAGUAAUUUAGCAAUUUCCGUCCAGUAGUGAAUGUACCCCCUCUGAGAGAAUGAUCUUCAUCAAUAAACAAUGGCUUGCAGUGCUCUGGUUAGUAAGUUAGCGUCCUUAGAGUAUUUGUGUGAACUUGAUCACAUACCUUUCAGCGUCCUUUUCUACCUUUCUAUUUAUAUAUAUUUUUUAUAUAUUACAUCUCACUCUUA